rnacentral:rRNA from 1 species
CGGCGAGUGAAGCGGGAAAAGCUCAAAUUUAAAAUCUCGGCGCCCUGCGUCGCGAAUUGUAGUCUAAAGGAGGUGAUCUAGGGUAGAAUGGGUGCUCAAGUUCCUUGGAAAAGGACGCCAGAGAGGGUGAGAGCCCCGUAACAGCACUUGUUCUGCCUCAAGUGAGAACCUUUCAAAGAGUCGAGUUGCUUGGGAAUGCAGCUCAAAGUGGGUGGUAAAUCUCAUCUAAGGCUAAAUAUUGGCAAGAGACCGAUAGCGAACAAGUACCGUGAGGGAAAGAUGAAAAGCACCUUGAAAAGGGAGUUAAAUAGUGCGUGAAAUUGUUAAAAGGGAAACGAUAGAGACCAGUGUUGGCGUGUGCUUCAACUUGGUGCCUUGGUGCCAGGAGCGAGCAUGCGUCGAGUCAAUGCCAGUUGCAGCAGUCACAUACGAUUCAGUUCAAGAUGGGGUCUUUAGGCUCUUUAUAGGCUCUGAAUUCUGCGACCGCCGCGACCGGAAGUCUGGGAACGCUAGUGGAUUUGGUGGAAACAGCCGGCGGACAACAUGUUGACCGUCGUCUGCCUCACUGCCAAUGAGGCAAAGCCGACUCGGACGCCU